AGAGUUUGAUUCUGGCUCAGGAUGAACGCUGGCGGUAUGCUUAACACAUGCAAGUCGGACGCAACCCCUCGGGGUUGAGUGGCGGACGGGUGAGUAACGCGUGAGAAUCUGCCCUCAGGUUCGGGACAACCACUGGAAACGGUGGCUAAUACCGGAUGUGCCUAAGGGUAAAAGAUUAAUUGCCUGAGGAUGAGCUCGCGUCUGAUUAGCUAGUUGGUGGGGUAAGAGCCUACCAAGGCGUCGAUCAGUAACUGGUCUGAGAGGAUGAUCAGUCACACUGGGACUGAGACACGGCCCAGACUCCUACGGGAGGCAGCAGUGGGGAAUUUUCCGCAAUGGGCGAAAGCCUGACGGAGCAAUACCGCGUGAGGGAGGAAGGCUCUUGGGUCGUAAACCUCUUUUCUCAGGGAAGAACACAAUGACGGUACCUGAGGAAUCAGCAUCGGCUAACUCCGUGCCAGCAGCCGCGGUAAU
rnacentral:rRNA from 1 species